GACGAACGCUGGCGGCGUGCCUAAUACAUGCAAGUCGAGCGCAGGAAAUCAUCCGAACCCUUCGGGGGGACGUUGAUGGAAUGAGCGGCGGACGGGUGAGUAACACGUAAAGAACCUGCCCUCAGGUCUGGGAUAACCACGAGAAAUCGGGGCUAAUACCGGAUGGGUCAUCGGACCGCAUGGUCCGAGGAUGAAAGGCGCUUCGGCGUCGCCUGGGGAUGGCUUUGCGGUGCAUUAGCUAGUUGGUGGGGUAAUGGCCCACCAAGGCGACGAUGCAUAGCCGACCUGAGAGGGUGAUCGGCCACACUGGGACUGGGACACGGCCCAGACUCCUACGGGAGGCAGCAGUAGGGAAUCUUCCACAAUGGACGAAAGUCUGAUGGAGCAACGCCGCGUGAACGAUGAAGGCCUUCGGGUCGUAAAGUUCUGUUGUAAGGGAAGAACAAGUGCCGCAGGCAAUGGCGGCACCUUGACGGUACCUUGCGAGAAAGCCACGGCUAACUACGUGCCAGCAGCCGCCGCCGUAA
rnacentral:rRNA from 1 species